UUUCGUUACUUGCUCUUCUGUAGCCGAAGGAUUAGGUUCUAUGUUUAAACCUUAGGCCAGAUUGCAGAUGUAUCUUCAGACGUUUAAUUAUUGUUACCUGCAUCGUGACAGUAUCUGUCUGAGUUUUUCGCCUGUAUCAAGUACCCAAAAGUUUGUAUGAUGCCCCCCAAACGGCAACGGUGAAUUGUUAAAUAUGUAAAGAAGGUGUGUAAAAUUUCAGUUGUUUCUUCAGAUAUAAGGAUGACCAGUCACCACCAUUUUAAAAUGUAACUGUAUUCUUACUAUUAUCUCCAUAAAUAAACGUUAGAUUGAUUUUA